rnacentral:rRNA from 1 species
GACGAACGCUGGCGGCGUGCUUAACACAUGCAAGUCGAACGGUAAGGCCCUUCGGGGUACACGAGUGGCGAACGGGUGAGUAACACGUGGGUGAUCUGCCCUGCACUUCGGGAUAAGCCUGGGAAACUGGGUCUAAUACCGGAUAGGACUCCGGACUGCAUGGUCUGGGGUGGAAAGCUUUUGCGGUGUGGGAUGGGCCCGCGGCCUAUCAGCUUGGUGGUGGGGUGAUGGCCUACCAAGGCGACGACGGGUAGCCGGCCUGAGAGGGUGACCGGGCACACUGGGACUGAGAUACGGCCCAGACUCCUACGGGAGGCAGCAGUGGGGAAUAUUGCACAAUGGGCGCAAGCCUGAUGCAGCGACGCCGCGUGAGGGAUGACGGCCUUCGGGUUGUAAACCUCUUUCAGCAUCGACGAAGCGAAAGUGACGGUAGGUGCAGAAGAAGGACCGGCCAACUACGUGCCAGCAGCCGCGGUAACAC